rnacentral:rRNA from 1 species
GACGAACGCUGGCGGCGUGCUUAACACAUGCAAGUCGAACGGAAAGGCCCUGCUUUUGUGGGGUGCUCGAGUGGCGAACGGGUGAGUAACACGUGAGUAACCUGCCCUUGACUUUGGGAUAACUUCAGGAAACUGGGGCUAAUACCGGAUAGGAGCUCUUGCUGCAUGGUGGGGGUUGGAAAGUUUCGGCGGUUGGGGAUGGACUCGCGGCUUAUCAGCUUGUUGGUGGGGUAGUGGCUUACCAAGGCUUUGACGGGUAGCCGGCCUGAGAGGGUGACCGGCCACAUUGGGACUGAGAUACGGCCCAGACUCCUACGGGAGGCAGCAGUGGGGAAUAUUGCACAAUAGGCGGAAGCCUGAUGCAGCAACGCCGCGUGCGGGAUGACGGCCUUCGGGUUGUAAACCGCUUUCGCCUGUGACGAAGCGUGAGUGACGGUAAUGGGUAAAGAAGCACCGGCUAACUACGUG